AAUCCAUAGGUUAAUGAGGCGAACCGGGGGAACUGAAACAUCUAAGUACCCCGAGGAAAAGAAAUCAACCGAGAUUCCCCCAGUAGCGGCGAGCGAACGGGGAGGAGCCCAGAGCCUGAAUCAGCAUGUGUGUUAGUGGAAGCGUCUGGAAAGGCGCGCGAUACAGGGUGACAGCCCCGUACACAAAAGCGCAUGUGCUGUGAGCUCGAUGAGUAGGGCGGGACACGUGGUAUCCUGUCUGAAUAUGGGGGGACCAUCCUCCAAGGCUAAAUACUCCUGACUGACCGAUAGUGAACCAGUACCGUGAGGGAAAGGCGAAAAGAACCCCGGCGAGGGGAGUGAAAAAGAACCUGAAACCGUGUACGUACAAGCAGUGGGAGCACCCUUUGGGUGUGACUGCGUACC
rnacentral:rRNA from 4 species